ensembl:lncRNA
AUGUAGUUCCCAGUCUCACUCUUGGUCUGGAGGGAGAAUGGGCAUGAGUACAACCAGCUGUGGUGGAAGUGAGGAGUGCUCUGACAAGAGCACUGAACUCUGGAGGAACACAUGAAAAGUUACAUUUUCCAAAAGACAGUGGGUCAAGUGGGACACGGGACAUUUCUAAAGAUGGAAGGAAAGGGCAAAGGUAACAAUUGGGAAAAAGGCAGGGAAGAGAAAGUGGUCUGAAUAACUGCUCCAUCCCACAUGACUCCAGGAUGGGAGAAUUGACCUUAAGGCUAGGAUGAAAGUGCAGAGUUGGGAGGGAAUCUCCUGGAAAGCAAAAAUUGGUCUAGAAACCAAAACUAGCAGCUUUAAGCUUGGGCAGAGGUCCACAGCGUUGCCAUCUGUGUCUCUCCUCUCCUUUCCCUGCACAUCCCCAUUCCCACCCCUUUAUCAAACCAUUGACUAGGCACCACCAAUUCUCCCUCCAUAUCUUCUCUCUGCCAUUCUGAUUCCACUGUGUCCACUCAGUGAUGAAGCAACUGUAGCAGCCUCCUGGCACGGUGCUAUUUUUCUUCUCUCCACUCUCCAAUGCACACCUGCAUCCUUUGACUAGGGCACAAGAGUCUUGGCUGCUCAGCAGAAUACAGAGGUGAAGGAGGCAGGUGUAGGUUGUGCCUGACUGUGGGUCAAUACCGGACUAAGAUAUAAGUCACAGGGAGAGGCACUGGAGUGGAUCAAAGUCAGACUUGGACUAGUUGAGAAGCAACACAUGCAAAAAGCCAGGAUCAGUGUGAAGUAUGGGCAGAACUACCAGGCUAAGAAAGACACCUUGAGUCAGUGACCCAGCAACAGUUCCAUCAGAUCCCUCCUUCAAAGGACAUUCAACCCAUUCCUUGCUCUCCCAGCAGAGAGCUUGGCAGUGCUCUAGCUGUAGCGCCCUCUCUCAGGCAGCCCCUCCAGCUGCCCUGCUCCUGGGACCACAUCUGCCCAUAGCAUGGUAGGAGGAACAGCACAGCCCGACCAACCUAGGAUUGAAUCUCAUAUUGAUCCUAAGGGGACAGAAUGACAUCUGUGUCAAGGAGUCCUCAUGAGGAAGACAACCUGUUAGAUAUAUAGUGGGGGCUGAUAAAUGCUUCUUCAUCCGUCCAACAAUUUAUGAACAUCUGACAGUGAAUCACACACCACACCAGCUACAAGAGCAGAACCAGCAUGCUCCCUGCCCCCAUAUACCUUCCAGUCUAGAGAUGGGGACAGACAUGAAUCUGUAAUCACAAAAAUAAUUGCAAAUAAUAGGUAUGACAAAUGGGGGUGAGAAAGUGUGCAUUUGGGAAGUUUGAUCAUUCUGAAAAUCUGAAAAAGACCCUGCUGAAAGCUGCCUUCUCUAGUCACUAGACCAGAGGUUUUAUUGGUCUGUAAAUUCUCCGCAGGAAGCCAGUACCCUGUAAAUGACACUUGUGUUCCUCUAUUGUGUUUAGUAUUUUAACUAGUGGCACCCAUAUUCACCCUCCUCUAUCAGAUCCUACACCUAUAUGUGUUUCACAGUGUCUACUAAAGUCUGUUAUUUUAAUAAAUAAACCAGGGCUGGGGAUUUAGCUCAGUGGUUCCGCCACCUGCCCCACAAAUGCAAUGACCCGAGUUCGAUCCCCAGUACCAAAAUAAAUAAAUAAAUAAAUAAAUAAAUAAAUAAAAUUUGCCUUCUAAAAUCUGCCACAAUUUAACAGAACUUGACUCUUAAUUUAUGACUUUUGUAAGCCAAGUUCCCAC